rnacentral:rRNA from 1 species
UUCCAGACUCCUACGGGAGGCAGCAGUGGGGGAUAUUGCACAAUGGGGGAAACCCUGAUGCAGCGACGCCGCGUGAGUGAAGAAGUAAUUCGUUACGUAAAGCUCUAUCAGCAGGGAAGAAAAUGACGGUACCUGACUAAGAAGCCCCGGCUAACUACGUGCCAGCAGCCGCGGUAAUACGUAGGGGGCAAGCGUUAUCCGGAUUCACUGGGUGUAAAGGGAGCGUAGACGGCCAAGCAAGCCAGGGGUGAAAGCCCGGGGCCCAACCCCGGGACUGCCCUUGGAACUGCAUGGCUGGAGUGCGGGAGGGGCAGGCGGAAUUCCUGGUGUAGCGGUGAAAUGCGUAGAUAUCAGGAGGGGCACCGGCGGCGAAGGCGGCCUGCUGGACCGCUACUGACGUUGAGGCUCGAAAGCGUGGGGAGCAAACAGGAUUAGAUACCCUUGUAU